CACGUAGGGCGCGAGCGUUGUCCGGAAUUAUUGGGCGUAAAGAGCUCGUAGGCGGUUUGUCGCGUCUGCUGUGAAAACUCAGGGCUUAACCCUGAGCCUGCAGUGGGUACGGGCAGACUAGAGUGUGGUAGGGGAGAUCGGAAUUCCUGGUGUAGCGGUGGAAUGCGCAGGAUAUCAGGAGGAACACCGGUGGCGAAGGCGGAUCUCUGGGCCAUAACUGACGCUGGAGGAGCGAAAGCAUGGGGAGCGAA
rnacentral:rRNA from 1 species